rnacentral:lncRNA from 1 species
GAAUUAUUAAUCCAAGGAAAAUCAAAAAAGUAUCAAAAUGGACCAUAAAACUGAUGCAAAAUAGAAAAAAUAAAUGAAAAGAUGCCAGAUUUAGCUCCAGAUUUAAAAUAAAAAAACAUUAUAUAUUUAAAGUAAAACUAUAAAAAUAUAAAGUGAGGGAAGUGAAUAAAGAUAAAAAUGAUUGAUAUCAAAUCUGAAUUCUAGUUAGAAUAUCCUUAUUUCUGGUAAGAGUGUAAGCUGACUGUGAGAAUGAAGACCAAACCCCACACCAUGCCCAGACCAGCUGAGGACACCAGCUUGGACAUCAUGCAGAAGACAACAGUGACAUUUCAUGACAGCAGAAGGUCAUGGUUCCAGGAAUCUCUUACAGUACUGACCCUAGAUGGACCCAGCUGGACUUCAAGUUGCUGGUAGAAGAGAGCAGAGCAUACCAGCCAGCAGGUAAGAGCCACCUCCAGCAAAGCCUGAGUCAACUGAAAACUCAACACCUCCUCUGGAGCCCACCAGGGAAGCGAGACCAGGGGCCAUCCACUGCCCAAGACUGGGGAGAAAGAGGGCAGAUGCAGAGGAUCACACUCAUCAGAACAAACAGGUGCAGGAAGGAGCCACUAAGAAACAGGGACAGGGGCAGGAAACCUGAACUGUAAUUGACAAGUGGCCAGAGACUCAGCCUGGAAAAUAGAAUAGUUACAAACCCCAGGUCAUACCAUCACCAGGGAGCUCCUGUAAGCUCUACCUCUGGGAGCUCAGAAGAAUCUCUCAAAAAGAGCCCCAUAAUUUAGCAGGGGAAAGGAAAAGCACCAAUUCUGAAAUAGGCCAGAGCAUUCUGUUCUUCAGAAAGGUCUGCCCUCAGGGGAAGUUGGUUAACCAAGCCCAGCUGAGGGGUCUAUCACAACCUGCUGACCUGGAACAAGGAAAACAUCCCACUCUGCCCACUGCUAGCCCUGAAGGUGGGAGAAGACAGGCACCAACUUCAGCCACCCCAGCUAGACCCCUGAACAAGGGAGGAAGCUGACAGCCUUCCUGAAGCUCGGAACCCAAGCUGCACACUCAGUAAUGAGCCCAGGGCUGGGGAGAGCUCAGAGGAGCAGCACUGCCCAGCUCAUGGGACCCCUGAGCUCAAUGAGAGCACACAGAACAGGACAGAGAACAAGUCACAGGACCAGGGAGCAUUUCCUCUCUUUACCUCCACAGGAUCAGAGGCCUGGUCCAAGCAACCCCUCUUACCCAGUGGGUCAUGUUUUGCUGUCAGGAAAACAGUGUGAGGCACUGAAAUCCCAAGGAGCCCUGUGAAGAGACUGAGCAGCAUCAGAACCGGAACCAGAUCCUGCAGGAAUUAUGGACCCUCACACAGAGGAGUCAAGACUCUGUGCAAAGCUCUAUGAAUGGGAAAAACUCUUCACUGGACAUUGCCCUUCACCAUGGCCUGUCUCUGAGCUUCACCAUAAAGAUCCUGGAAACAACUGUCCUUGGUCACCAUGCUCAAAAUUUGCAUUCAGUUCUGUUUCAGGCUUCCCCAUUCAAGGUGCUACCCCACGGUGUCACUGAAACUUCUGCCCAAUAUCACCUGAGACAUCCACACUGCCCAGUCCAGUGUCCGCACCAAUCCUCAUCCUACUAGACCCACCAAUGUCACUUAGCACCUCAGAGCACCCUCCUCCUCCAGGCACUUUCUUCCUGAGCCUCAGGACAUCACUCUCUCCUGCUGCUCCCCCUCCCACUGCCCCUUCCCAAUCACCUUCCUGGUCCUCCCUCUCCACCUGUCCCAGAACUCAGGCCCUGGGCCUCUGCUCUGUGCAGCCCUCCCUGCAGUGGUCAUAAGAGCUCAGUCCCCAGGGCAGACCUCACCCCUGAACCCCAGCCUCUAACACUCUGUUGGCUACUUGGCAACACACUAAUGCACAUGGCCAGCCCCAACAUCUAGAGCCACAUAUCCAUCUUGCUCCCAAUGUCACUGUCCCCACUGUCUCCUCUGUCAGGACAAAUAGCAACUCCACCCUGCUAGCUUCUCAAAGUAAGAUCUCAGAGUCAUCUUGAGACUCCUUCUCUCACAUCCCUUGACCUACCACAGCAGGUUGUUCACCUCCAUCUCCAAUAUACACCCCUCACUGCUCCCUCCAGGUGCAAACCACAGGCCACAGAAAACACAAGCAGGCAACAUCCUGGGGAGAGUCCCAAGUGAAUGAGGGAGGUUUCUUCUUCUUUCUGACCCUCCCCCCGCCUGCCCACAGAAUAUGUCCAGGGAGAACCCCAGCCUGGCGUCCAGCACUCAGCUUCAGUCUGGUCUGUUAAGGGGUCUCCAUGCUCAGCCCAGGCUCAGCCUGAUUCUCUUCUCUAUGCUCCUCCAUUGAUGUUCACCUGAAACCCAACUUUGAAAUACUUUUUUAAGAAGUGUGAGGUAUCAAUGCCUACAAGAUUAUAAAUGGGUGUAUAAUUAAUGAGUUAUCAUUAGACACAACAAUUAUCAAGUAAUAAUAUAAAAAAUUAAAAAACGGGGAAAUAGAACUGAAAUCUCCAAACAAUAUCCACUUCCAAAUGCCAUCAGCGAUCCAUCAGUACUUGUUAGUGAUAAACAAAGGUAGUAUUGGACAAAAUAUUGCAUUGAUGGCCCAAAAACCCUGUCCCUGGUAUCAACACAUUGCAGGUAUUCAAGUAGUAAUUCAGUAUCUUCCGUGAAGGAUUUUGCAGCUGUAAUGAAAUAGGGGCCUUUUAGAGAGGGAGAGAGUACCAGAAUGCACCCCCUAUUGUGGAAGCCCUUGAAAUCUGGGUAGAGUCAGAGGGAGGCAAAUCUCAUGCCAGGGAAGAUUGGAUAUGGGGAGAUUCUCUAAUGCUAGUCUUGAAGAUGCAGGAGCCAGACUGUAAGUAAUUAGGGCAGCUUCCAGGAGCUCUGUGCUGAUGGCCACAGGGAUAUUGGGACCUCACACUACAACUGUGAAAGGAUGACUCAGCCACAGGCACUGGACCUGGAAGAAUACCCUGAACUUCAGCAAGGAGAGCUGCCGACUUACUGCCCCAUUUCAGUCUUCUCAGGCUGAGCUGAGGACCCAGCCUGGACUCCUGAGGGACAUGCCUGGGAAGGAACACACUGCUCAAUAUGUGGGAAUUUGUAGUUCAGCCACAGAAAACUAGGAGAGAUGUCAAUGAACCAGGUAUUACAAGGAAAAUCAGAAAUCUAAAUACCAGCAGCAGUUUUCCCAUGUGGCUCAUGCUUAAUCUGCACUGUGGAUGGUUCUAUGAACUUUAGCUGUACUAUUUAUAAAAGCUGCUGUGCAGUUACUUCUGUGUACAUGUGAUGUGCAUAUU